AUUGAACGCUGGCGGCACGCCUAACACAUGCAAGUCGAGCGGCAGCGAGAUAAGUAGCAAUACUUAUUGUCGGCGAGCGGCGGACGGGUGAGGAACACGUAGGAACUUGCCUGAUAGAGGGGGAUAACCAAGGGAAACUUUGGCUAAUACCGCGUAAGCUCGGAAGAGGAAAGAUGCCUUUAGGGGUAUCGCUAUCAGAGAGGCCUGCGUCCGAUUAGCUAGUUGGUAGGGUAAGAGCCUACCAAGGCGAUGAUCGGUAACUGGUCUGAGAGGACGA
rnacentral:rRNA from 1 species